rnacentral:rRNA from 1 species
GGCGAUUUCAAUGAGAUUCUGUAUUCCCAUGAGAAGGAGGGUGGAGCGCCGCGACCAACAAGUAUGAUGCAGAGAUUCAGAGACGCUUUGGUUGACAGUGAACUUGCGGAUAUGGGCUUCACCGGCGACCAAUUCACUUGGCGGCGACGUAGAUUACGGGAGAGGCUAGAUAGGGCUGUUUGUAAUGGACAGUUCCUAGGUCUCUUCCCUAAUGCAAAGAUCACCAACACAGCACACACUAAAUCUGAUCAUAGGCUCGUCCUU